UACAGGGGGUGCAAACGUUGCUCGGAAUUAUUGGGCGUAAAGCGCGCGUAGGCGGCUACUUAAGUCGGAUGUGAAAGCCCUUGGCUCAACUGAGGAAGUGCACCCGAAACUGAGUGGCUUGAGUACUAAAGAGGGUCGCGGAAUUCCCGGUGUAGAGGUGAAAUUCGUAGAUAUCGGGAGGAACACCGGUGGCGAAGGCGGCGACCUGGGCCGAUACUGACGCUGAGGUGCGAAAGCGUGGGGAGCAAACAGG
rnacentral:rRNA from 1 species